CCUACGGGUGGCUGCAGUGGGGAAUUUUGGACAAUGGGGGCAACCCUGAUCCAGCCAUUCCGCGUGAGUGAAGAAGGCCUUCGGGUUGUAAAGCUCUUUCGGCAGGAACGAAACGGUCGUCUCUAAUAUAGAUGGCUACUGACGGUACCUGAAGAAGAAGCACCGGCUAACUACGUGCCAGCAGCCGCGGUAAUACGUAGGGUGCGAGCGUUAAUCGGAAUUACUGGGCGUAAAGCGUGCGCAGGCGGUCCUAUAAGACAGAUGUGAAAUCCCCG
rnacentral:rRNA from 1 species